UAUCACGGCGAAAUAUUACGUCCACAUUUUAUAAACAGUGUUUGAACUUAGCGUUUCUUGGGGUGCCUGGAACGACUAUGCGACACCGUUGCCCAGCUUGAGCAACAAAACGUCACAAUAAGACCUGUGUAAUGUUGAGUAUGUACUGUAUUCUAUAUUGUGUUGCAAUAAUAAAAAGUAAAUUAUGAAAAUAGUAAGGAAGUUACUGGCGUUCUAAAACUAAUUCGGAAGUACUAUAUCACGUGAUCGCAGGGAAGUUUCGUUUUCAAAGAGAUUCGAGACUUCCGUCGUCCGGCAACCAUAGCAGCGCCGGCUCGCCGCGUCCCCGCUCCUGUCGCCCCGUCGUCUGCUCGCCGCUGCGCAUUUUCUGUGCGGGGCAAGUUUCGGUUGUUGUGUGUGCUUGGCGUCGUUGGCGUCUGUUGUGUGCGCGCUUCAGCACUUGCCAUGCCGACCGUGUGUCUUGUGAGAGAGUGCAGCACGAGGUAUGGUAAAACGAACGACAUUCGGUUCCAUAAGUUACCGGACCAUCCACAGCGAAGAUCGGCCUGGCUUCGAGCCAUUGACCGCGAUGGCCCGGACAACAUCGGUAGGAGCCAGGGCUACCUGUGUUCCCAUCACUUUUUAACUGGGGACUACGAUAUGAACAUUGAAGUGCGGCGAAGCCUUGGCCUGGACACGAAACGGGCGCGUCUCAAGCCAGAUGCCGUGCCCACACAACAUCUCUGGUUCGACGCACCGCCAAAAAAACGAAGGUCUGAGGAUCUCAGCGGCUCACCGGACGUCGUUGACAUGAUCGUCGAAGAAGGUCCGAUUCCAAGUUGAACAGUAGACGGCUGGACACAAACGACCAGAAACGCCGUCACAGCUCUCUGCCAGACUCACGGGGGAGACGUCCAAACACAGUGUAAGGUUGUCAUUUUUAGUCUGGUGCAACAAUUUCCUUUAAGACGUGAUAGCAACAUUGAAGAGGUCCUCCCGGAGAAUGAAAGAAAGUUCAUCGUGUUUGAGACAUCUCUAAAAGAACUCUUCAGGGUGUGCCGGAAAUGCCAUGCACCAUGCGAGAGUGUGUCGAAGGUGUCGGGGACACUGCUGAAAGUGCAGACGCUCUGCGUGAACAGUCACUGUCUUCUGUGGAAGAGCCAACCGAUUCUACACGGCAAGCCAGCGGGCAGCGUACUGAUGUCGGCAGCAAUACUUUUCACCGGGACGAGCCCCACCAGCGUGCUACGAGUACUCAAACAUAUCAACGUGCAGGUGUUUGGAGCCCGAACGUUCUUCAAUUAUCAGCGCGGAUACUUGCUUCCCGCAAUCAACAAGAUCUGGCAACAACAGCAGGACGAGCUGUUCGGUGAACUGGUGGGCCACGAGGUAGACCUCGCUGGUGACGGGCGGUACGACUCGCCUGGCUUCUGUGCGAAAUACAUGACUUACUCCUUGCACGCCGCUCAGGUGAAGAAGAUUCUCCACUUCGAGCAAGUGCAAGUUGGGGAGUGUGCAGAGGCUAAAUCCAGCACUGCCAUGGAAAAACAUGGAUUUAUCAAGUGCCUGGAAAAGGUGAAGGGGCAGGGGCUCAAGGUCGCGUCUGUGACCACGGACAGACAUGUCCAAGUGACGAAGUACAUGCGUACGGAGGAGCCCAUGAUCCGACACUACUUCGACGGCUGGCACAUUUCAAAAGGCAUCAAGAAGAAGCUGGCUGCUCAAACGAAGCGUGCUGGAUGUGGCAUGCUCGAAGUCUGGAUCCAGCCAGCCAGCAACCAUCUCUUCUGGUGUGCUGCCAUCUGUGACGGCAACCAAGACUUGCUCGUCGACAUGUGGCGGAGCAUACAAGCCCAUGUCGCAAACAUACACGAGGGCCACCCAGGUCUCUACUCACACUGUGCCCAUGAUGACCUCGGAGACAGGCAAUGGCUCGCCCCUGGCACACGAGCACAUGACAAGUUCGUUGAGGUUACCAUGGCACCACGUCUACUCAAGAAUAUUCGGCAGCUGGCCCCUUCCACACACACAUUCAGCCUGGAGUCCUUCCAUAGUGUGCUGAACGGGUUUGCGCCCAAGUCUGUGUCCUUCUCCCCCAACGGCAUGCGUGCAAGAACACAACUGGCAAUAUUGCACUUCAACGAGAAUGCGAACAACCCGCAAGCGAUCACUGCUGAUGGAUUGCCUCAGUGGAAGAUCUCGUAUCCGAAAUCAAAAAAGGGAAUGGCUGUUGCCCGUCCCAAGCAAGCUGGCCCCUCGUACAACUAUGUCAACCUGCUGCUGAAAGAAACGACAAACUGCUGCAAAAUGUGGCCAUCGUUCAAGGUAGCUUUCGCAGCAAACCCCUCCACCGCCCCCCCCCACCCAUGAGCCACUCCUUCCCAAGGCCUUCGAAGA
rnacentral:sRNA from 1 species